UCAGUAACACGUNAGUCCACAUGCCCAAUGGACGUGGAUAACCUCGGGAAACUGAGGAUAAACCGCGAUAAGCCAUGAUUUCUGGAAUGAUUCAUGGUUAAACAUCUAUAUGGCCAUUGGAUUGGACUGCGUCCGAUCAGGCUGUUGGUGAGGUAAUGGCCCACCAAACCUGUAACCGGUACGGGCUCUGAGAGGAGGAGCCCGGAGAUGGGCACUGAGACAAGGGCCCAGGCCCUAUGGGGCGCAGCAGGCGCGAAACCUCUGCAAUAGGCGAAAGCUUGACAGGGUUAUUCUGAGUGAUCUCCGAUAAGGAGAUCUUUGGCAUCUCUAAAAAUGAUGCAGAAUAAGGGGUGGGCAAGUCUGGUG
rnacentral:rRNA from 1 species